rnacentral:rRNA from 1 species
UACGUAGGUGGCGAGCGUUGUCCGGAUUUACUGGGCGUAAAGAGCGCGCAGGCGGUCGAUCAAGUCGCGUGUGAAAGCUCCAGGCUCAACCUGGAAAGUGCGCGCGAAACUGUGAGGCUUGAGUGCCGGAGAGGGUGGCGGAAUUCCCGGUGUAGAGGUGAAAUUCGUAGAUAUCGGGAGGAACACCAGAGGCGAAGGCGGCCAACCUGGGACGAACACUGACGCUGAGACGCGAAAGCGUGGGGAGCGAACAGG